CAGUAGCCACGGUAAUACGAAGGUCCCAAGCGUUGUUCGGAAUCACUGGGCGUAAAGGGAGCGUAGGCGGCGUGGUAAGUCAGAUGUGAAAUCCCGGGGCUCAACCCCGGAACUGCAUCCGAUACUGCCAUGCUUGAGGGUUGGAGAGGUAGCUGGAAUUCUCGGUGUAGCAGUGAAAUGCGUGGAUAUCGAGAGGAACACUCGUGGCGAAGGCGAGCUACUGGACAACAUCUGACGCUGAGGCUCGAAGGCUAGGGUAGCGAAAGGGAUUAGAUACCCGUGUAGUCCCUGUCUCUUAUAC
rnacentral:rRNA from 1 species